rnacentral:rRNA from 1 species
GACGAACGCUGGCGGCGUGCUUAACACAUGCAAGUCGAACGGAAAGGCCCUGCUUUUGUGGGGUGCUCGAGUGGCGAACGGGUGAGUAACACGUGAGUAACCUGCCCUUGACUUUGGGAUAACUUCAGGAAACUGGGGCUAAUACCGGAUAGGAGCUCCUGCUGCAUGGUGGGGGUUGGAAAGUUUCGGCGGUUGGGGAUGGACUCGCGGCUUAUCAGCUUGUUGGUGGGGUAGUGGCUUACCAAGGCUUUGACGGGUAGCCGGCCUGAGAGGGUGACCGGCCACAUUGGGACUGAGAUACGGCCCAGACUCCUACGGGAGGCAGCAGUGGGGAAUAUUGCACAAUGGGCGGAAGCCUGAUGCAGCAACGCCGCGUGCGGGAUGACGGCCUUCGGGUUGUAAACCGCUUUCGCCUGUGACGAAGCGUGAGUGACGGUAAUGGGUAAAGAAGCCCCGGCUAACUACGUG